rnacentral:rRNA from 1 species
GGGCAACCUGCCCAAAAGAGGGGGAUAACACUUGGAAACAGGUGCUAAUACCGCAUAACCAUAGUUACCGCAUGGUAACUAUGUAAAAGGUGGCUAUGCUACCGCUUUUGGAUGGGCCCGCGGCGCAUUAGCUAGUUGGUGGGGUAAAGGCUUACCAAGGCAAUGAUGCGUAGCCGAACUGAGAGGUUGAUCGGCCACAUUGGGACUGAGACACGGCCCAAACUCCUACGGGAGGCAGCAGUAGGGAAUCUUCCACAAUGGGCGAAAGCCUGAUGGAGCAACGCCGCGUGGGUGAAGAAGGUCUUCGGAUCGUAAAACCCUGUUGUUAGAGAAGAAAGUGCGUGAGAGUAACUGUUCACGUUUCGACGGUAUCUAACCAGAAAGCCACGGCUAACUACGUGCCAGCAGCCGCGGUAAUACGUAGGUGGCAAGCGUUAUCCGGAUUUAUUGGGCGUAAAGGGAACGCAGGCGGUCUUUUAAGUCUGAUGUGAAAGCCUUCGGCUUAACCGGAGUAGUGCAUUGGAAACUGGGAGACUUGAGUGCAGAAGAGGAGAGUGGAACUCCAUGUGUAGCGGUGAAAUGCGUAGAUAUAUGGAAGAACACCAGUGGCGAAAGCGGCUCUCUGGUCUGUAACUGACGC